UGUAGCUCAACUUAACUUCAGUAACCCCAUAUAAAGCACACUGUGGAAAAAACACAGAGGGAUCUGUAUCUGAAACAUGUGAUGCUACUGAGAAUUUAAGUUUUAGCCAUGGCUUUUCAGACAAAAUUUCUGUUGAAGGAAAACAACAAGUCAUCACUAAACAUGUCAUAAAAAAUAAAGGAGAGGAAUUAUCUCCAUUAUCCAUGUCCAGUGGAAGUGAAGUACAGUCCUGGAGUCAAGAACCUUGUGGCCCUACACAUGAGUCAGGGCCGACUUCACAUACAUUUCUCAAACGAAAGUAUCAGCGUGAUACAGAAAGCCAUUCUGAUGAGGGAGAAACAAGCAAAGAGGAGGAAAAGAAGAGAAGCAGAAGAAUAACGUUACAGCCUAGAAAAUUAUUUAAAAAAGAUGAAGCUGUUACUUACAGAGUGUAUGAAAACUUUUCUACUGUAUCUGUAACUGAUCCAUCUGCUUUGGAUGUGGAAAUCUGGGAACCUGGUUGCUCAACUAUUGAUAUAUGUCAGAAGCUCCAAAAAGAAUUUACUAAGAAAAUUGAGGCAAGACAUUUUAUCUACAGUAUUAGUUGAAUAUGUGGUUAAAUGUCCAUAUGAAUAGUAAUUUUGGCUUAAAGUACAGAAUUUGCUUAAAAAAGGCAUUAAAAAAUCUAAGCAUGUAUAGCUUUUAGAAAUGACAGAAUUAAAGCUGCUUUUCAAGCUUUUUUCAAUUACAUGAUGCACUUAACAUUCAAAUGAUUUUCUUUACCAGGUCUGCUUUAAAUUUUAUCCUGUGCAUUAUUUCAUAUAAUCCUAUGUAUCUAAAGUAAUGAGCAUACUGCAUUUUGAUUUUUUUUUUCCUAAUUAUCAGCCACAUGAAUGGGACUUGUUUGCUAAAAGGAAAACACAAGCCAAAGUGAUGCAUUUGUUCACCUAAGACAGCUGCAAGAAUGCAACCUUUACUCCAAGUGCACUUUCUUUGACGUCAGGAAUUCUGUUUUUCAAGAAGUGUAUUUCUGAUUUUUUUCUAAGAGCUUUUCCUAAAAGGAUAGCAAGAUUGAAAAGGAAAAAAAAAAGGGGGGGGAGAAAAAAACUGUUAUUGUACUUGGCACUAUUGCUUUUUUCUUCAAGUGAAAAUAAUCUGAAAGUAAUGUUAGGACAUCUUUACAGAGCCGUUCACAGAAAAUGGAGCAUUUUGCAAAGCAAUCAUUAAGAGCUGCCAACCAGCAUUUGACAACGAUGAAUCAACAGCUUCUUGAGUGCAGGUCUGUAAAGAAAUGAUUAUCUUAAAACAAUUAAAAUGCAAUUAAUACCUUCUAAAUAUAACCUUUUCUCUCUCUUUUUUUUUUUUAAUAGGAUCAAGCAGUUGGACAGAUUUCAUUUCAUUAUUCUUCAGGAAAUUGAGAAUUUUGAGAAAGAUUCUCAGUCCCUGAAAAACAUGGAAAAAGAAUUAUUGGUUUGUUUUUUAAUUACUUAGUCAUGAAGACAAACAAGUUCCUGUGAAAUCUAUGGAUUACUCAUAGGAUCUUUAACUUUAGAUCAUUAAUUCUGAGUUUUAAAAAGCCUUUUUUCUUCCUCACAGAUGAGUCAAGUUUCAAAUAAUGAAUUUGAAACGUCAGGAUUAGAUUAUGCUAUGCUGUUAGAAUUUCUUUGUCACUAUUAGGUUUUCUUCCUAGAACUAACUGCUAUACUACUUCUAAUGGGCUGUUUAUGCCCAUUAUUUUCAGUUGGCCUGCAUUUCAGGCAGUGUGUUCUGAGUCGAGUCAGUUGCCUGCUACAUGCUGUAACGUAAAAUCGAUGUAUAAAUAUUCAUGUUAAAACAAAAUUUCUUUCCUCUGUGGGAUUUUUUUCUUUUUUAAUCACCCUUAGGUUAUAUGGCAAGUCUGUUUAAAAUGUUGUGGACAUUCUUUUUCAUUUAUUUGAAAUUUAGGCAGAACAAAUUUACUGCUGAAAAAUUUUCUGGUGAAAUUGGUUCCAUGAAAACAGAAUUCCUGAAGUGUCACAUCCUGCCAACAAAACUUGUGUGUUUGUUUGUUUUAAAGCCUCUAAGGUGACUGUUUACCUACUUCCCAUUCUGUGCUGAGCCUAUAAUUGUAGGUUAUAGUAUUCAGAUUAGAUAAUAGUCAGUUCCAGUUUAGAAAAUACUAGUUACGGUUGGCUAUCAUCUGUUAAUAUUUUUCUUUUCAGACAUUUUGGAAAAAACAUAAGCAUACUUUAAGUACGUUCGUGAAAAAUGAGCAACAGAGGUUAGUAGGCUUCAUUGGUGAUGUUUUGAAAUGUAUUUUCUGAUGUAAAUUCAAGCUGAAAAGUAGGCUGCCUUCUAUUCUUUAUGCAAUUGCUCUCCUCCAUAAAAUAAGGAUAGUAGACGAGAUGAGAAAAAGAGAUUAAGACAUAACUAUUCUCCAGUAGGAAUAACGAUGGUAAGGUUUAUUCAUGCAUUUAAGUACCAUUAGACUACAAAUAAUGAGAUGUACUCAUGAUAUUUGUGAAAUGUUCAUAGAUAGCAAAACUAUUUGAAUUGCCUUUUACUUCUUUAGGCUGCAGGUCCUUAAAACAUCAUUUGAAAAGAACAUCUACCAUAGUGUUGACUAUGAAGAAAAUAUUUUUACUUCAGAGGUAGUACAAGCUUUCAGUUCUUUUUCUGGUUUUAAUCAUUUUUAUUUCUUCCAUUAAGCUAACAGAUACCAUUAUUAAUUUUUUUUCCAAAGAAAUUCCUUAUUCCUAGAAUUGCAUUAGUGCCACAUAGGUAUUUUUAUAGCUUUUCCAGUGUCAUAAAAUACUUGUAAUGUAACAAUAUUCUGUGCUUAAGGGCUAGAUUUCACCCAUUAGGAGGUGUGUACAAUUAUCUGUAAAAUCACUGCAAAGUGAAUACUAUAUUCUGUGACCUUGUUCUCCAUGGUUAAUCAUCCAGGAAAGAACAACUUAGAUGCAAACAAUCUCUCUCCUUUAGAGAGCAGAUGCAUGUACAUCCUUUUAUUUUACAGUUAUAAGCCUUUUAGAGAUGUAAUUGUCAUCUUGGAAGUGUGUUACCAAUUGCAAGCAGAGACAAUGCAUUCAGUAUAAGUAUCUUUUUAUAGAUGCAUCUGAUGAAAGAAGACAUGAAAGGACUCCAAGAGAAAUUUCUUAAAGAAAUGGUAAAUGAAGUUAUCUUGUCUUCCUUUUUAUUUACUAAUGAUAAUGCAAGUAUAGUUGUUUGAACAUUAGAAUUUACAGCUUGUAGUAAUUUAGUACCCUAUCAGAAAAAAUAGAAAGACUUAGAAUCUAGGUAUCGCCGGUAUUAUAUAUUUUAAGCCUUUUAUGUGAGUGAUUAAAGUAGCCGGUAUGGGUGUGCUGUUUGAUUUCUGAGUCUUAGUAUGUUGAAUGUUAACAUGGAAAAGUAUCAUGUUUCAGAUACUUUAUAAGCACGAUACUAUACACAAGAAUUAAAAGGUGAAAAAGAAAAGGUUCUAUUUAAAGUGUCUGAUAACUGUAAUGUUUUCUGCACAGCAACAAGAGGAACUGAUUAAUGUUCGCAGAGGAUUGCAGACAUUAUUUCUAUCAGAAGACGGAAAAUUCUGAAGUAGUACUUUCAUAGACUUUCCUGAAAUUCAAGCUGAAUAUAAACACUCAUUUUUAAUACAAAAUUUGACUUUUUUUUUUCUUUUUACUUAAGGAAACUACUGUAAUGAAAGCAUAUUUUCCAGAAUAAAAAUUGAAGUCUUUUGAAUAAGACUUCUCCA
ensembl:lncRNA